rnacentral:rRNA from 1 species
ACUCAAAGGAAUUGACGGGGACCCGCACAAGCGGUGGAGCAUGUGGUUUAAUUCGACGCAACGCGAAGAACCUUACCUAGGCUAGAAUGUGAGGGAAGGCUCGGUAACGCGAGCCGUCCGGGAAACCGGACCCAAAACAAGGUGCUGCAUGGCUGUCGUCAGCUCGUGUCGUGAGAUGUUGGGUUAAGUCCCGCAACGAGCGCAACCCUUACGGGCAGUUGCCAUCAUUAAGUUGGGAACUCUGCCCGGACUGCCGUUGAUAAAACGGAGGAAGGUGGGGAUGAUGUCAAGUCAUCAUGGCCUUUAUGCUUAGGGCUACACACGUGCUACAAUGGAUGGUACAAAACGUCGCAAUCUCGUAAGAGGGAGCUAAUCGCAAAAACCAUUCUCAGUUCGGAUUGAAGUCUGCAACUCGACUUCAUGAAGUUGGAAUCGCUAGUAAUCGCAAAUCAGCAUGUUGCGGUGAAUACGUUCCCGGGUCUUGUACACACCGCCCGU